UGACGGGAGCUAUUAUUGUCUUCUUAUUCUACUCCUGUAAAAGGAAACAUAAAGGCAAUACUACCAGUGGGUUUUCCAAUCCAAAUUAUGCAGGGAGCAGCACGACUUCUCCGAACGAGUUUUAUGAUACGGUGCAUCCUAAUGUCUAUAUCAGCGUUUUUCCCUGGAAAUCAGCCCAUGAGGUUUCCCGGAAGGCCUGUUCAUUCUCCAACCCUCUGUAUGGCAAAAAAGAAGACCUGUAAUUUCCAUGUCACCGUCAUCUCGCUCCGAGCAGAAAUUUUUUUGAGAUAAAUUAUAAUAUCAUUUACAGAGGCAGCGAUUGUUAAUGUAAAUACCGCCUGCUGCUGCAGACAGACAAAGCAGGUAAUAAGUGCUUUCUGC